ACCCUUAGAUGUUCUGGGCCGCACGCGUGCUACACUGAGUGGAUCAGCGGGUCAGGUUGCGCGAAAGUGUUUCCUAAUCUUGAAAUCCGCUCGUGGUGGGGAUUGACGGUUGCAAUUUUCCGUCAUGAACGAGGAAUACCUUGUAAGCGCGGGUCAUCAUCCCGCGCUGAAUACGUCCCUGCCCUUUGUACACACCGCCCGUCGCUCCUACCGAUUGAGUGGUCCGGUGAGGCUUUAGGAUCUGAGCGGAAAGAGCGUUUCGCUGUUUCUGCUCGGAAAACUCAGUCGAACCUUAUCAUUUAGAGGAAGGAGAAGUCGUAACA
rnacentral:rRNA from 1 species